UGGGGCGUCGUAUAAUGGUAUUACGCUCGGCUCUGGACCGAGUAAUCGGGGUUCGAAUCCCUGCGCCCCAGCCA
rnacentral:tRNA from 1 species